CCCGUGAUCAGCCUGUCGGUCAAGAUGAAAGACCUGCAUCAGCAUGGGUGAAGAGGUAGAUCAAGAUCUUGACGCUGUAUGACGUCAACCAAUCCAUCACAACCUUUCAAGUUGAUUUCGUCGAGUGGCCUCUGCUUUGCCAUGAAGAGAUGCACUGGUUAGUUUUCUGUCUAACUACUUCGAUCCUGCCUGUGUACUCAAGCAGGCAGCCUGCGAGAGCUUCCUUUGCUGCCUCGCGCCAUGAAGCAAUCUGCUGAGCUGCACCUGCACGAAAAGGGGGAGAAAACAUUCUGCUCUGCUUGCUCGGUUACAAGCUAACUAAAGGAUUAUGGAUGCUCCUGGAGAGAUGGAGCAAGCCAGGGGCGACCAGCCUCGGACUUGCCGGUUGCUGCCUCUGCCAUGGCGCGGCCCGGCGUCUGUGCGUGGUGGCACAGCUAUGCAAGGGUGGUCGCGGCUAGCCAAGGUAUGGUGGGUGUGCCAAGGCAUGGUUAGGUGUCCGCGUGAACACGGCAAUUGGCGAUGCACACCACCUGUUGGGCGAAAUGUGUGGCCGACGGAAGAAGAUGGCCGUGGCCGAGGCAUGGACUCAUCAAGGUGAACGGCGACACCCACAGCCAAAAGUACGUCGACGAGGCCACCAAGAAGGAGGUCAAGGACAUCUUUCGGCCGCUAUGACCGCACCCUCCUCGUCGUCGACCCCAGGCGCUGCGAGCCCAAGAAGUUUGGUGGGCGCGGAGGUACCAGAAAUCGUGUCGUAAUUGCUAGAUCAUGUAUCAAUUGGUGUUGCGUGUUCUGGUUCUAUACCUAGCUACAUCUUUACAUAUAUGCUAUGGGAGUUUAGAA